rnacentral:SRP_RNA from 1 species
CGCCAGGGCCCAUGGAAUGCGGACUUACGAACCCCGCCAGGGCCGGAAGGCAGCAACGGUAGUUUGCUCUGCAUCUGCCGUGGUCACCCUGGCAUUU